UUGCUAAGGUGUUGCUAUGUGGUUGCUAGGGUACCCGGGAUGGUUGCUAGGGUGUUGCUAUAUGGCUGAUAGGGUACCCGGGGCUGUUGCUAAGGUGUUGCUAUGCGGUUGCUAGGGUGUUGCUAUGC